GGAGUUAGCCGGUGCUUCUUCUGUGAGUGAUGUCCUUCCUGCCGGUUAUUGACCCGCAGGCCUUCUUCCUCACUGAAAGUGCUUUACAACCCGAAGGCCUUCUUCACACACGCGGAAUGGCUGGAUCAGGGUUGCCCCCAUUGUCCAAUAUUCCCCACUGCUGCCUCCCGUAGGAGUCUGGGCCGUGUCUCAGUCCCAGUGUGGCUGAUCAUCCUCUCAGACCAGCUACGGAUCGUCGCCUUGGUGAGCCGUUACCUCACCAACCAGCUAAUCCGACAUAGGCUCAUCCGAUAGCGCGAGGCCCGAAGGUCCCCCGCUUUCCCCCGGUAGGGCGUAUGCGGUAUUAGCCUGGGUUUCCCCAGGUUAUCCCCCGACUACCGGGGCAGAUUCCUAUGCAUUACUCACCCGUCCGCCGCUCGCCACCAGGGAGCAAGCUCCCCGUGCUGCCGCUCGACUUGCAUGUGUUAGGCCUGCCGCCAGCGUUCAAUCUGAGCCAGAAUCAAACUCUGA
rnacentral:rRNA from 1 species